rnacentral:rRNA from 1 species
GUUGAACGCUGGCGGCAGGCUUAACACAUGCAAGUCGAGCGAGCGGCGGACGGGUGAGUAAUGUUUGGGCAACUGCCAGCUGGCGGGUGGUAACUACUGGAAACGGUAGCUAAUACCGAAUACUAUAAGUUGUGCCCAGAUGGGAUUAGCUAGUAGGUGGGGUAAUGGCUCACCUAGGCGACGAUCCCUAGCUGGUCUGAGAGGAGGACGAGCCACAUGGGAACGGGGAAAGGCCCCGGACUCCAACGGGAGCCGGCAUUGGGGAAUAUUGGACAAUGGGGGCAAGCCUGAUGCAGCCAUGCCGCGUGUGGGAAGAAGUCCUCCGGUCGUUAAAGCAUGUUGUGCGAGGAGGCGUUACUCGCAGAAGAAGCACCGGCUAACUCCGUGCCAGCAGCCGCGGUAAUUC